AACGAACGCUGGCGGCAGGCCUAACACAUGCAAGUCGAGCGGACCUUUCGGGGUCAGCGGCGGACGGGUGAGUAACGCGUGGGAAUAUGCCCUUCUCUACGGAAUAGUCCUGGGAAACUGGGGGUAAUACCGUAUACGCCCUUUGGGGGAGAGAUUUAUCGGGGAAGGAUUAGCCCGCGUUGGAUUAGGUAGUUGGUGGGGUAAUGGCCUACCAAGCCGACGAUCCAUAGCUGGUUUGAGAGGAUGAUCAGCCACACUGGGACUGAGACACGGCCCAGACUCCUACGGGAGGCAGCAGUGGGGAAUCUUAGACAAUGGGGGCAACCCUGAUCUAGCCAUGCCGCGUGAGUGAUGAAGGCCUUAGGGUUGUAAAGCUCUUUCAGCUGGGAAGAUAAUGACGGUACCAGCAGAAGAAGCCCCGGCUAACUCCGUG
rnacentral:rRNA from 1 species